GGCAGGCCCAAUACAUGCAAGCUGAACGGUAACUUUUGUAGCAAUAUGAGAGCUAGAGUAGCGUAAGGGUGCGUAACACGUAUGCAAUCUGCCCACAACAGGAGGAUAGCUCCCCGAAAGGGGAAUUAAGACUCCAUAAGAUCACACGAGGGCAUCUGAGGGUGAUUAAACUUUAAGGGGUUGUGGAUGAGCAUGCGCAUGAUUAGUUAGUUGGCGGGGUAACGGCCCACCAAGACGAUGAUCAUUAGGGGAACUGAGAGGUUGGUCCCCCACACUGGCACUGAGAUACGGGCCAGACUCCUACGGGAGGCAGCAGUAGGGAAUAUUGGACAAUGGGUGCAAGCCUGAUCCAGCCAUGCCGCGUGCAGGAAGAAAGCCUUCUGGGUUGUAAACUGCUUUUAACUGGGGAUAAAAGAUCCCUGCGGGGAGCAUUGAAAGUACCAGUUGAAUAAGCCACGGCUAACUACGUGCCAGCAGCCGCGGUAAUACGUAGGUGGCAAGCGUUGUCCGGAUUUAUUGGGUUUAAAGGGUGCGUAGGCGGCACAUUAAGUCAGUUGUGAAAUACGGCAGCUUAACUGUCGAGGUGCAAUUGAUACUGGUGUGCUUGGGUACUGAUGAGGUAGGCGGAAUGGACGGUGUAGCGGUG
rnacentral:rRNA from 1 species